rnacentral:lncRNA from 1 species
GAAUCCAGCCAUCAUCUGAGGAAGCAGUUCAUGUCGCAGCAAAGGAAGUUCUGUUCUCACCACAGCCCCUAUCUUCUGGAAGCAGCUGUCGUAAUUGAAAGGGUGCAUUUCUCACCUGCACUGUGGUCCAGGAAACUCAAGUCACCGUCCCCACCAUGUUCUUCCUGACUUCGAAGCAGUCUGGUGACCCCAGGCAGGAACUGACUAGCAUGAGAGUCUUGAUGCAGGAGAAUUUUUGAAGAAAUUCAGAAGCAGAACCGAAAGGAGGAGAGAAGGUGGAGGUGGGAAAGCUGACAGCUGGAGACUGGGGAGGGCCCUUUGAGGCCUGGGAGAGAAUAUGUGGAUGGUGGGGAGACCUUUCCCAGCAUUUUGGUAAAGGCUCCGUCAGUGCCCUGUCCUCGUGUUGGGGUCCCCCUCUCACAAAGUAUCUUUUCCACCUUUAGCCACCUCCACCCUGUCCACUAACCUUCAGUGGGAACAGCAGAUGCAACUGGCGGGGCUGAAGGAAACAGCAGGCAGUGAGAUGGAGUGAGAACUGGAAUAAGGCAAGGAAUAUUGCUGAGAUGGUUCUCA